UUCCCCACAUGGCAAAUCUUGAAAUUGAGAAGAUUUAUACUGGAUGUAUUUAUUCAAGCUAGCACUCAAUCAGUGCUCCUAGCUGCUACAGUAAGACAAAAGGUCCUCUUGAAUGGUAAACUGUGAUUUAGACAAAGACGCUGCACUGAUUGCCAGAAUAAAGCAAGCAGCAGACAAAUGGCAAGACAUAUGGUCAGACUUCUUCCUGUAAAUUGCAGGAGCCUCACUUCAGAGAACAGGCUGGACUUUGAAGUAAGAAAGUGUGAUAUUCACAUGGAUCAGAAGAAUUUCAACUCAUUUCCUACUCGUCUGCUGUAAGAUGCCCAAAUACUGCCUGCGACCUUCAACAUAAAGCUUCUCAUCAUGGAGGUGCCUUGGCCACUUCAGAGAUUCAUUUUCAUCUGUCCUGGUUCAGUGGACAGACAGCUCUGUGACCCUGCUCCUUGCUUUUGUGCAACCUCUUCUCAACCCGAUCCUUAACAACAGGCAGCUGUGGUGCUGGUAUUGAUGUUGCUGAUACUGCCCAUCUGAUACACAGUGCUGUACCGGCCAGAGAACUUGGGUACGAAAUGGGAGUAAUUCAGGAAUUAAUUUUUCAUAUUGGGAUGCUCUGAGGCACAUCUCCCAACUCCUAUCAGCGUUAGAAAAAUUUCCCAGCAUAGAAACUACUUACCUUUUUGUUGAUGCUGUGCCAGUGUAAGGACUUAAAGACUCUGGAUAAAAAGAUGAGAAAGGAGAGGGAGCAUAAUUAUAUAUUUAUUAUCACAUAUAUGGCAAUAGUUAUCUCUGGUCUCUAACAUCAGGAUUAUUCUGGGAAAGUUUUCAACGUAAGAUUAAACAGUUCAAUGUUAAUUUCUGAACUACUCUCCUGAAGCAUUUUUCCCUAUGUGCUGUUUAGGGACCUUGUAUACUCUGAGUUUUGCGCUGACAAGGCAUAUCCUGGAGUAUCUAAUUCUUAAUUUUUUAAAAUUCUUGCAAGUCUUUUAUUUACCCUAGCUCAUCUUCCCUCUGUUGUUUCCCCACUUAUGACAAGUACCACAAAUAUACUGUUAUUAACACUACUGAGAUGCUUGUAUCUACUGAAGAAUAUUAAAGGCGAGUCUGUGUAUAUUAGCUGCAUUUCUCUAUGACUGAGCUGGAGAGCAGAAUACACAAAAAAUUCACAAAUAUUUUGUUUCCAAAAACAAUAUACAAAGAAUAUAUAAAAAAUAGCAUUAUUCUCAUGCAUAAAAAUAUAUACAAUAGGUUGACUGUAUGACAACCAUGUCUAACAACCUAGGUUUUGGACCCCAGUUUUGCCAGAGAAACUGGGAGAUGACAGCCGAAUUUAAUGUGUGACCAGGAAGUCAUUGCGCUGACUUCUGCAGGAACCCAUAACUGUGGACAGAAAGGAGAAGAUUCAUGUUUGGAGAAAGGCCCAUUCCACCCAUGGUCCGCAUGGAAAUGUCACUCUGAUCGUGCAUGAAGACUUAUUUUGAGACUCGGUACAAAAUGACAAGGGAUGAUACCUUGUCAAUAAAUGUUAGGAGGAACAAAGUCCUCAACAAAGUCCCUAAGCAUUUGGAGGUUGAAAAGUUGUGGUUUCAGUUUUUGUGCACGGAUGUGGGAAAGGAGAGAAUAUUGAUUUGUGAUGGAAGAAAUUAUAAAAGUAAGAAAAAAUGGAGAUUAUGUUGAGUAUUACUUCCUUUUUCUUUUUGCUUAUUUAGAAAGUAUAGAUUGGAUGUUUGCUCCAAAAGACUGACUAGAGAAGAGUCCUGUCGUAUUUGCAAGGUCAACCGGUUUUUGGAAGCCAUGUCCUUCUCUGCUUAUUUCAUAAUGUCUCUAAUCCUUCUUUAGCUUUUACAAGCACUCCGCUUCAUUGAUGAUAUGUCUUGUUAACUCUUGAAACCACAGGAGAGAUUAUUAUGCCCUGCGGUGGGCAUUAACUUUAAUUAUAUUCUUUAGUUUGCUCUUAGGUUCUUCUAUGUAUUUCUAACCUGUUUUCUAUGUUCACCGAGUUUUAAAUUACUGAAAACAUUUGGAAAAUUAGUGAAUUUCUUCAAUAUUUUCUGGAAUUCAUGGAGAUCGGGAUGAUUGUAUCUUUGAAAAAAGGAGUCCUUUGCACUGAUGAGAUUUCUGUCCCUCCAAAAAUACAAUGAAUAAGAUAAAGAUGUAAUUAAUGUAGAACACUAGAGUAGAUGGUAAAGAUUUCCCUUUGGUUAGCCUACAGAUGUAUUGAGAAAUGUGUUUGAGAAUAAAAAUUGAUCAGAUAAUGUGCCACCAUGUUGGUUACCAUGGACCAAUUAACUUUCUGACUGAGCUUUUUUGUUUUUCUUACUAGAGGUUGUUCUUGUUUGUCUGCUGUUCUGGUGGAUUUUAUACCAGAUUGCAGGUAGCCGAACCUGAGUCAAGUAUGGAUGUAAGGUUUCAGCUCUCGAGUCAUUACAAUGUCUGUUAAUGAGACAUUUCUAAGCCAAAAUUCUUCUAAUAAAACUGCAUUUCCUGUUUAGGUAUCUGUCUUCACCAUUUCAGCAGAUUUUAUGCUUUCACAAUCUGUGUUUUUAUGUUGAUGUUAUUUAUGUAACAUAUGACAAACAAAGAACAAUUAGUUUCUCAUUAGCUGCUAGGCAAAUGUCAUGCCCUCAGAUUUUAAUCAGCCAAUGCAAAUAUCAUCAGAAUAUAAUCUACUUGCUCCAUUCUUCUCAUUAUAUCCUCUAGGAUCAUGGCUAAUAUUUUUCAUUUCAAUUCAUGUGUAUGAACUUAUUUUUAGAUCUGACUUGCUGAGUAUCUACUGGUUCCAUAAAUAGUUAAGUGUUUUAUUUUAUUAACAGUAUUAUAAAAAAACCCCACUUGUUGUUCAUUGUGGAUUUCAGUGAAAACAUGUCUUCCUUGUGGACUCUGGGCAGUGAAUAUUUAUAAAGUAUAAAUGUCUGGACUUGGCUUUCUGCCAAGAUGCGAUGGCUUAGGCUUUCUGCUCUAUGCAUCUCAUGUCACCCAAGGUGGCUUUGGUCUACCAUCCCCCACGUAGCUGAACUGCUUCCUUAAGUGGCCUGUUGCUCCUGCUUGGUUGAUCAAGGUUCUGUGCCUGAAGAAGGCCGGGGUCUUGUGGGAAAAGGCA